ensembl:lncRNA
CUUUAAUUUGUACAAGAGGCCAAAAGAAAAAGUUUUAUUUUAAGUUUAUUAUACAGUAGUUGUAAUGUUCACGUGUCCUUUUUACUUCCAGAAGUGUUUUAUUUAAUUUAUUUUUUGCUGCUUGUUCUAGGUAUUCCUGUCUGUUGGUUGGUGUAGAUAGAGGACGUCUCUAAUCGCAAGUCUCCAGUUUGUGUUUUUAAUGACCUUUUCCAGACAUUUAAAUGGAACAGGACAGCAUAUCUCAGAAGGGGGAUUGUCUUACACUUUCUACUUGAUUUUAAGAUGGUUGCUCAUCCUGAAAGUUGUUUGAGCCAAGAGGAAAUAGACAUCCAUGGCUCAGUUUUGUUUCAACAGCCAUUACUAACUUAAGCUAACUGUAGCAACAGCUAGCUAAAAAUCAGUUGGAGAAAUGAGGUCCUGGCCCACGGACUGCUUUCUGGCUGGGAAGUUUGAGGUCCUGGCUGAGGCUGUCCUGAGACAGACCCACGUGCCUUGAAGACCUGCUCCUCCAAGAGUCUUGAGCAGAACUACCCGUAUGUCUUUGCUCCAGCACCUUUACUCACUCAUUUCCUUUAACCAUCAUCCUGGGUGUUCACUUGCCCUUUGAACCCUGGACAGGAUAUGUACAUUGUGUUUGGGAUUGACAGAUGGUUCUGCCAGUGCAGGGCUUCCACUGUAUGGUCUGAUGCAUGUUCACUGUCGGCAGUUCGUUGCACUUUGUUUUGAUGACUACAUUUCAUUUUUCUGUGACUAUUUAGUGGUGCAGAGACUUUUUUUUUUCCUCCAUCCUUUUUUUGUUCCACAUUCUAUCUUGUUGUAGCUCCGCCCUCAUUUACCAUUUCCAACAGACACGUAAUAUUCCCCCUGACAUCAUUUAGUUCCACCCCAUGUGACACCCGAUGUUGUCCAAUCAGACUCUGCUGGGAGUGGUUGGACAGCAUGUGGCUGUGUGGAGGCAGCCGAACUUCCCUCGGCUUGUCGUUACGGCUGCUCUGUAGACGACUAACUGUUGUUCGACACACUGAGGCCUCGUUUCAGGACAGGGGGAAUGGUUUUCCAUGAGUAACAUGUGUAUACAAUGUGAUUCAGAUUCUCUUUCAAUUCCAUGCACGUGUGAGAAGAUUGUAAAUUAUUUUCAUUUGAUUGUAAUUGAUUUUCGUUUUGUUGCUAUUUUACAUGUCAACCGUGUGACAUUCACUGACCACUUAAAUAGAUACGCCAGCCUCUUAACGCAAAACAGCGAAUCAUGUUGCUGCAACUCAGUAUAUGUGUGAAGCAUGCAGACACGGUCAAGAUAUUUAAUUGUUGUUCGACCAAACAUUAGAAUGGGAAAGACGUGCGACCUCAGCAACUUUGACCAUGUUGCUUCAUGCACUAUGGUCUCAGGUUUACAGAGCAUGGUGUCCUCAACAUAAGACACCCAGUGUGGCAGUUCUGCGAAUGAGCGAGGUCAGAGUAGAAUGAGCGAGGUCAGAGUAGAAUGAGCGAGGUCAGAGUAGAAUGAGCGAGGUCAGAGUAGAAUGAGCG